rnacentral:rRNA from 1 species
CGGCGGACGGGUGAGUAAUGGCUGGGAACCUGCCUGGUAGAGGGGGAUAACCACUGGAAACGGUGGCUAAUACCGCAUGAUGUCUUUGGACCAAAGAGGGGGACCUUAUGGCCUCUCGCUACCGGAUGGGCCCAGUUGGGAUUAGCUAGUUGGUGGGGUAAAGGCUCACCAAGGCGACGAUCCCUAGCUGGUUUGAGAGGAUGAUCAGCCACACUGGAACUGAGACACGGUCCAGACUCCUACGGGAGGCAGCAGUGGGGAAUAUUGCACAAUGGGCGCAAGCCUGAUGCAGCCAUGCCGCGUGUGUGAAGAAGGCCUUCGGGUUGUAAAGCACUUUCAGCCGUGAGGAAGGCAUUGUACUUAAUACGUGCAGUGUUUGACGUUAGCGGCAGAAGAAGCACCGGCUAACUCCGUGCCAGCAGCCGCGGUAAUACGGAGGGUGCGAGCGUUAAUCGGAAUUACUGGGCGUAAAGCGCAUGCAGGCGGUCUGUUAAGCAAGAUGUGAAAGCCCCGGGCUUAACCUGGGAAAGUCAUUUUGAACUGGCAGGCUAGAGUCUUGUAGAGGGGGGUAGAAUUUCAGGUGUAGCGGUGAAAUGCGUA